rnacentral:rRNA from 1 species
UACGUAGGGUGCGAGCGUUGUCCGGAAUUAUUGGGCGUAAAGAGCUUUGUAGGCGGUUUUGUCGCGUCUGCUGUGAAAAUCCGGGGCUCAACCCCGGACUUGCAGUGGGUACGGGCAGACUAGAGUGUGGUAGGGGAGACUGGAAUUCCUGGUGUAGCGGUGAAAUGCGCAGAUAUCAGGAAGAACACCCGUGGCGAAAGCGGCUCUCUGGAACGGUACUGACGCUGAGACGCGAAAGCGUGGGGAGCGAACAGG